rfam:Schistosoma mansoni, Puerto Rico, WGS project CABG01000000 data, contig: 0181
AUUCAGCUGACGAGUCCCAAACAGGACGAAACGCGCAUCUUGGAC